GGGUGAGUAACACGUAAGUAACCUACCUUUAAGACGAGGAUAACAAUCGGAAACGGUUGCUAAGACUGGAUAGGAAACAGAAAGGCAUCUUUUUGUUUUUAAAAGACCUUCUUCGGAGGGUAUGCUUAAAGAGGGGCUUGCGCCACAUUAGUUAGUUGGUGAGGUAAAGGCUUACCAAGAUUAUGAUGUGUAGCUGGACUGAGAGGUUGAACAGCCACAUUGGGACUGAGACACGGCCCAAACUCCUACGGGAGGCAGCAGUAGGGAAUUUUCGGCAAUGGAGGAAACUCUGACCGAGCGACGCCGCGUGAACGAUGAAGUAUUUCGGUAUGUAAAGUUCUUUUAUUGAAGAAGAAAAAAUAGUGGAAAAACUAUCUUGACGUUAUUCAAUGAAUAAGCCCCGGCUAACUAUGUGCCAGCAGCCGCGGUAAGACAUAGGGGGCGAGCGUUAUCCGGAAUUAUUGGGCGUAAAGGGUGCGUAGGCGGUUAGAUAAGUCUAUAAUUUAAUUUCAGUGCUUAACGCUGUCUUGUUAUAGAAACUGUCUUGACUAGAGUGAGAUAGAGGCAAGCGGAAUUCCAUGUGUAGCGGUAAAAUGUGUAAAUAUAUGGAGGAACACCAGAAGCGUAGGCGGCUUGCUGGGUCUUUACUGACGCUGAGGCACGAAAGCGUGGGGAGCAAACAGGAUUAGAUACCCUGGUAGUCCACGCUGUAAACGAUGAGUACUAAGUGUCGGGGUAACUCGGUACUGAAGUUAACACAUUAAGUACUCCGCCUGAGUAGUACGUACGCAAGUAUGAAACUUAAAGGAAUUGACGGGACUCCGCACAAGCGGUGGAUCAUGUUGUUUAAUUCGAAGAUACACGAAAAACCUUACCAGGUCUUGACAUACUCUGCAAAGCUAUAGAAAUAUAGUGGAGGUUAUCAGGGAUACAGGUGGUGCAUGGUUGUCGUCAGUUCGUGUCGUGAGAUGUUAGGUUAAGUCCUAAAACGAACGCAACCCCUGUCGCUAGUUGCCAGCACGUAAUGGUGGGGACUUUAGCGAGACUGCCAAUUAAACAUUGGAGGAAGGUGGGGAUAACGUCAAAUCAUCAUGCCCCUUAUGAUCUGGGCUACAAACGUGAUACAAUGGCUAUUACAAAGAGUAGCUGAAACGCGAGUUUUUAGCCAAUCUCAAAAAGGUAGUCUCAGUACGGAUUGAAGUCUGCAACUCGACUUCAUGAAGCUGGAAUCGCUAGUAAUCGCGAAUNAGCAUGUCGCGGUGAAUACGUUUUCGGGGUUUGUACACCCCGCCCGUCAAACCCCGAAAGUUAGCAAUACCCGAAAGCCGUGGGUUAACUUUGCAAGAAGAGGGAGCUGUUUAAGGUAGGGUUGAUGAUUGGGGUUAAGUUGUAACAAGGUAUCCUUACCGGAAGGUGAGGAUGGAUCACCUCCUUUUUAA
rnacentral:rRNA from 1 species